rnacentral:rRNA from 1 species
GACGAACGCUGGCGGCGUGCUUAACACAUGCAAGUCGAACGGAAAGGCCCUGCUUUUGUGGGGUGCUCGAGUGGCGAACGGGUGAGUAACACGUGAGUAACCUGCCCUUGACUUUGGGAUAACUUCAGGAAACUGGGGCUAAUACCGGAUAGGAGCUCCUGCUGCAUGGUGGGGGUUGGAAAGUUUCGGCGGUUGGGGAUGGACUCGCGGCUUAUCAGCUUGUUGGUGGGGUAGUGGCUUACCAAGGCUUUGACGGGUAGCCGGCCUGAGAGGGUGACCGGCCACAUUGGGACUGAGAUACGGCCCAGACUCCUACGGGAGGCAGCAGUGGGGAAUAUUGCACAAUGGGCGGAAGCCUGAUGCAGCAACGCCGCGUGCGGGAUGACGGCCUUCGGGUUGUAAACCGCUUUCGCCUGUGACGAAGCGUGAGUGACGGUAAUGGGUAAAGAAGCACCGGCUAACUACGUGCCAGCAGCCGCGGUGAUACGUAGGGUGCGAGCGUUGUCCGGAUUUAUUGGGCGUAAAGGGCUCGUAGGUGGUUGAUCGCGUCGGAAGUGUAAUCUUGGGGCUUAACCCUGAGCGUGCUUUCGAUACGGGUUGACUUGAGGAAGGUAGGGGAGAAUGGAAUUCCUGGUGGAGCGGUGGAAUGCGCAGAUAUCAGGAGGGACACCAGUGGCGAAGGCGGUUCUCUGGGCCUUUCCUGACGCUGAGGAGCGAAAGCGUGGGGAGCGAACAGGCUUAGAUACCCUGGUAGUCCACGCUGUAAACGGUGGGUACUAGGUGUGGGGUCCAUUCCACGGGUUCCGUGCCGUAGCUAACGCUUUAAGUACCCCGCCUGGGGAGUACGGCUGCAAGGCUAAAACUCAAAGGAAUUGACGGGGCCCCGCACAAGCGGCGGAGCAUGCGGAUUAAUUCGAUGCAACGCGUAGAACCUUACCUGGGUUUGACAUGGAUCGGGAGUGCUCAGAGAUGGGUGUGCCUCUUUUGGGGUCGGUUCACAGGUGGUGCAUGGCUGUCGUCAGCUCGUGUCGUGAGAUGUUGGGUUAAGUCCCGCAACGAGCGCAACCCUUGUUCACUGUUGCCAGCACGUUAUGGUGGGGACUCAGUGGAGACCGCCGGGGUCAACUCGGAGGAAGGUGGGGAUGACGUCAAGUCAUCAUGCCCCUUAUGUCCAGGGCUUCACGCAUGCUACAAUGGCUGGUACAGAGAGUGGCGAGCCUGUGAGGGUGAGCGAAUCUCGGAAAGCCGGUCUCAGUUCGGAUUGGGGUCUGCAACUCGACCUCAUGAAGUCGGAGUCGCUAGUAAUCGCAGAUCAGCAACGCUGCGGUGAAUACGUUCCCGGG